rnacentral:rRNA from 1 species
GGGAACGUACCCUUCGGUUCGGAAUAACUCAGGGAAACUUGAGCUAAUACCGGAUACGCCCUUUUGGGGAAAGGUUUACUGCCGAAGGAUCGGCCCGCGUCUGAUUAGCUUGUUGGUGGGGUAACGGCCUACCAAGGCGACGAUCAGUAGCUGGUCUGAGAGGAUGAUCAGCCACACUGGGACUGAGACACGGCCCAGACUCCUACGGGAGGCAGCAGUGGGGAAUAUUGGACAAUGGGCGCAAGCCUGACCCAGCCAUGCCGCGUGAGUGAUGAAGGCCUUAGGGUUGUAAAGCUCUUUUGUCCGGGACGAUAAUGACGGUACCGGAAGAAUAAGCCCCGGCUAACUUCGUGCCAGCAGCCGCGGUAAUACGAAGGGGGCUAGCGUUGCUCGGAAUCACUGGGCGUAAAGGGCGCGUAGGCGGCCGAUUAAGUCGGGGGUGAAAGCCUGUGGCUCAACCACAGAAUUGCCUUCGAUACUGGUCGGCUUGAGACCGGAAGAGGACAGCGGAACUGCGAGU